rnacentral:rRNA from 1 species
GAUGAACGCUGGCGGCGUGCCUAAUACAUGCAAGUCGAGCGAACAGACGAGGAGCUUGCUCCUUUGACGUUAGCGGCGGACGGGUGAGUAACACGUAGGUAACCUACCUAUAAGACUGGGAUAACUUUGGGAAACCGGAGCUAAUACCGGAUAAUAUUUCGAACCGCAUGGUUCGAUAGUGAAAGAUGGCUUUGCUAUCACUUAUAGAUGGACCUGCGCCGUAUUAGCUAGUUGGUAAGGUAACGGCUUACCAAGGCAACGAUACGUAGCCGACCUGAGAGGGUGAUCGGCCACACUGGAACUGAGACACGGUCCAGACUCCUACGGGAGGCAGCAGUAGGGAACCUUCCGCAAUGGGCGAAAGCCUGACGGAGCAACGCCGCGUGAGUGAUGAAGGUCUUCGGAUCGUAAAACUCUGUUAUUAGGGAAGAACAAACGUGUAAGUAACUGUGCACGUCUUGACGGUACCUAAUCAGAAAGCCACGGCUAACUACGUG